CCUACGGGAGGCAGCAGUGAGGAAUAUUGGUCAAUGGCCGUAAGGCUGAACCAGCCAAGUAGCGUGAGGGAAGACUGCCCUAUGGGUUGUAAACCUCUUUUAUGCGGGGGUAAAGGUGUCCACGUGUGGAUGUUUGCAGGUACCGCAUGAAUAAGGCCCGGCCAAUUCCGUGCCAGCAGCCGCGGUUAUACGGAAGGUCCGGGCGUUAUCCGGAUUUAUUGGGUUUAAAGGGAGCGUAGGCCGGUCUUUAAGCUUGCCGGGAAAUUUUGGGGCUCAACCAUGGGAGUGCGGCGCAAACUGGAGACCUUGAGUGCGCGGAAGGCAGGCGGAAUUCGUGGUGUAGCGGUGAAAUGCAUAGAUAUCACGAAGAACCCCGAUUGCGAAGGCAGCCUACCGGAGCGUUACUGACGCUGAGGCUCGAAAGCGCGGGUAUCGAACAGGAUUAGAUACCCUGGUAGUC
rnacentral:rRNA from 1 species